rnacentral:ncRNA from 1 species
GAACUGAAGAGUUUGAUCCUGGCUCAGAUUGAACGCUGGCGGCAUGCUUUACACAUGCAAGUCGAACGGCAGCGCGGGGCAACCUGGCGGCGAGUGGCGAACGGGUGAGUAAUAUAUCGGAACGUACCCAGAAGUGGGGGAUAACGUAGCGAAAGUUACGCUAAUACCGCAUACGAUCUACGGAUGAAAGUGGGGGACCUUCGGGCCUCAUGCUUGUGGAGCGGCCGAUAUCUGAUUAGCUAGUUGGUAGGGUAAAGGCCUACCAAGGCGACGAUCAGUAGCUGGUCUGAGAGGACGACCAGCCACACUGGGACUGAGACACGGCCCAGACUCCUACGGGAGGCAGCAGUGGGGAAUUUUGGACAAUGGGCGCAAGCCUGAUCCAGCAAUGCCGCGUGAGUGAAGAAGGCCUUCGGGUUGUAAAGCUCUUUUGUCAGGGAAGAAACGGCUGAGGCUAAUACCUUUGGCUAAUGACGGUACCUGAAGAAUAAGCACCGGCUAACUACGUGCCAGCAGCCGCGGUAAUACGUAGGGGGCAAGCGUUAAUCGGAAUUACUGGGCGUAAAGCGUGCGCAGGCGGUUUUGUAAGUCUGACGUGAAAGCCCCGGGCUCAACCUGGGAAUUGCGUUGGAGACUGCAAGGCUUGAAUCUGGCAGAGGGGGGUAGAAUUCCACGUGUAGCAGUGAAAUGCGUAGAGAUGUGGAGGAACACCGAUGGCG